GGCAGCCAGGUCCCGGGAUGGACCCUAUUUUGAGAGAUUUAUUGACUUUCUUUUUCUUUUGAAAGGGCUGUGGCCAGGCAGAAUAUUGAAGCGAAGGAGCCCGACAGUAGCCGCUCUCUCAGGGUCUAAGGCAACAGAGAGCUCCCAGGUGUGGCCGCAAGACUGGCAGCAGAAAGGCACUUUUGUAAGAAGAGGGAUGGGAGAAGCACAGAGGUGGACCUGGAAAAGUCAAAGGGAAGCUGUGGGUGGAAGCUCCGGAUGGCUGACCCCGAGUUCCAGCUCAAAGAACAGAGAUGGGUGGGGUGGGAAACACAGCGGAAAGAGCGGCCCGUGAACGAGGGUCCUCGGCAGCAGGACCGCCCUCCUCACGGACAGAUGGCAAGUGCUGGGGAGGCGGGGGAGGAACCAGCCUGUCACCACCGGCGGGAACGUGGGCGGGCGCAGCCACUGCAAAACAGCCGGUCACUCCUCAGAUAACAGGCGCGGACUUCCCACACGACCCAGCAAUCCACGCCUAGAUGUAGCCAAAGAGAAGCAGAAACACGUCCCCCGUAACACGUGUACCUGGUGUUAUUCAUAACAGCGAAAAAGUGGAAACAGCCCCAAGUUCAUCAACAGACAAGAAAAUGUGGUACAUCUACCAGGCGCGGUGGCUCACGCUUUAAUCCCAGCACUUUGGGAGGCCGAGGCAGGCGGAUCACCUGAGGUCAGGAGAUCGAGACCAUCCUGGCCAACAUGAUGAAACCCCGUCUCUACUAAAAAUACAAAAAUUAGCUGAGUGUGGUGGCGGGCGCCUGUCAUCCCAGGUACUCGGGAGGCUGAGGCAGGAGAAUCGCUUGAACUCAGGAGGCGGAGGUUGCAGUGAGCCGAGAUCGCGCCACUGCACUCCAGAAUGGGCGACAGAGCGAGACUCUGCCUCAAAAAGAAAAAAAAAAGUGGUAUAUCUGUGCAGUGUGCUAUUAUGUGAAAAUAAAAAGGAAUGAAGCCCUGUCAUAUGACAACAUGGAUGAGCCGUGAAAAGAUCAUGCUCAGUGAAAGAAGCCACACACAGAAGGCCGCGUAGUGUAUGAUUCCAUUUAUACGAAGAGGCAUUUUUUCCUCAAUGAAGCUGUUUGAAAAAGAAAAAGGGAAAGAGAGGAAGAGAGAGAGGUGCCAGUUGGGGAGGAAAAGAGGAAGAGGAACCUUGUAGAGCAGAGUGCAGGUAGAACUGCAACUGAAAACAGGAACCUGCGGUGCAAACGGCACAGCGUGCACCGUGCUGCCUGUGCGCUCCCCUGUGCGCUCCC